UACAGAGGGGGCAAGCGUUGUUCGGAAUUACUGGGCGUAAAGGGCGCGUAGGCGGCCUCCGCAAGUCAGUUGUGAAAUCUCCGAGCUUAACUCGGAAAGGUCAACUGAUACUGCGGGGCUAGAGUGCGGAAGGGGCAACUGGAAUUCUUGGUGUAGCGGUGAAAUGCGUAGAUAUCAAGAGGAACACCUGCGGCGAAGGCGGGUUGCUGGGCCGACACUGACGCUGAGGCGCGAAAGCUAGGGGAGCGAACGGG
rnacentral:rRNA from 1 species